AUCGAGUUCGUUUUAUUUUGCAUUUUGACGAGUAAACAUCGAAGCUCUCUCUUCCUAAACGCAAGAACUUAUAAAUUAAUGCUUUCGAUAAUUUGUCAAUAAU